UUCUUCUGCGCUUUUCAUCUGCAGCAAACCAGUGUUCUUCCCCCAUGAAAAUACCAGUUACGUUCUUCCCCCAUGAAAUACCAGUUUACGGUUUCCAUCUUCGCUGUGGUACUUCGACGCAAUUAGGGUUUACCAAUUAGAACAAAAAUACAGAAAAGAUUUAGGGUUCAUUGAUUAAGAUAAAUACAAACGUAAUCACAUAAAAAAGGAGAACAGGGAGAAAAGAAAUUAGGUUUAGGGUUUACCAACAAACUAUGAAUCGUAUUUGAUUAUAUAUCAUUUUGAAAUCGUAUUUGAAAUACCCAAGCUUUGUUUCAAUCGACGAAACCCUAAACCCUAAAUUGAAUCUGUUUGCAACCCACUGUAUCAAAAACCCAAGCUUUCCUUUAAUCGUAGAAUCCCUCCAACACAAACACAAAAAGCAUCAAAAUCCUAAUUAACAACCCAAGCUUUCCCUCAAUCGACGAAUCCCCGCAACACAAACACAAAAAACAUCAACCCAAAGAGGUGUAUGGAUUGAUAUGCACUUGAUGGAUGAUAUUCCUUCGUGAAACAAUGAGCACAUCACAUAAGUCUACUUGCCGGAGGAAAAAUAACAGAAGAUAAGGUGAUCAAUGCUCUCUCAAUUUUUACUGGCAAGCCGCAAGCUGGACUACUCAGAAUUUAAACAUGUUGAUCUGGUGCUAUAGGCCACAUAUUAGUCAGAGAGUACAUUUGGUGGGGAAACAUUUUCACAAAAGGUGUUGAAUUUGGUGGGGAAAAGUUUACUGGAGUUGCGUGGGACUGGGAUAGCUAAUUAUAUAAUCAGCUUCAAGGUGAUGUUUAGCUGUGUAAAUGGUCAGUAUUGACGUUAGUAUAUAUAUAUAUAUAAAGUUGAAAGCUUUCACAUUACCAUGAUAUUAGUACCACAGCGAAGAUGGAGAAUAAAGGCUUAUUCUUCUACAGUUUCAUCCCCAUCUCCAGGUGUGGACUUGGAGACACUUGGAGCUGCAUUUCUAAGGUGAAUUUGCUCUAACAGUUCAUGUCUUGGAUAUAUUUUGUUGUUGAUGUAAUUCUUCCGGUUAUUUCAGAAAGAUCGUUGCAGUGCUAAAGAAGCUCUUGAUAAGCUACGGGAAAGUGGUUGGACUAAAGACUGGAGUUCUCAACCAUAUGUAUCACAACGUAUGGGACGGAGUGACUUGCAGUUAGAGUUUUAAAAUGGGUACAUAAAUAUAUAGUCCAAGGAAGCAUGUUAAAAGUGCAACCAGCCAACCACGGAAUAGAAAGUUGCUUGACCACUGGGAAGAUACAUAUUCAUCGAAAUUACCUUGAAGGUUGAGACCACGAGAAGGGUAAGAGAACUUUAACUAUCACCAAAAACAGUAGUUUAAAGUUGUGUAGAUUCAAUUCACUAUGAUGGGAAACUGCAUGAUAAAUGUCAGAUUUCACCUUGAUGCAUUUUUCUUCUAUGAUAAACUGUAUGAUGUUUCACAUAUAGGACAGGUGUGGGUUGGGUCUAUGAAAGAGAAAGAAAAAUAGGUAACCAUUGCCCGUGGAAGUCGGUAUACUGCCAGAAUAACAUGUAACCAAUUUAAUUUAAUGGAAGAAUACUCUCCGUCAAGAUCUUAUUUACUGUAUUUAAAAUUAUUGAUAAAAAGUACACUACGAUUUUUAAUA